AACUUUAUUUUAUUGUUUUUACGUCACACACUAAACAUUUAAAAAUAUUUCCAAUUGAAAAUGUUUACAUUUGGAAAACAUUUUAAACUUAAUCUUUUCGAGGCAUUUUUUAUUUUUCAUACCGCAGAUGUGAGCAAGAAAUGCAGAUGAGAAGCACGUUUUGUGCGUAAGACUGCUCUUUUUUGAGUUGAAAGUUGAAAACACCUCUUUUCAGGCCUUUUUCAGAUGUCAGUAAUCAGUAAAAUUGAACAGUGUAAAAGGACUGAGGACAACUGCUGCUAGCCCCCCACUCCACGACCUGCGUGCCAAGAACGCUCUUAAUUUAAUGGAAACUCAUUGAUUAACGUUUCAUUAAUUAGUGGUAGAUUACUCUAAAGUAAAUUAAGCCUUGUAUAUAUUUAUAAACUGGACAGUGCAACAAUUGCAGCUAUCUCUCUCAUCACUUUCACUACUCCACAAACCCAUCUACUAUUCCUGAAAGAAAGAGAAACUAUGGCGGAAGGAGCUUUGUUCGCUCUUGCUGGGAAAGUCAUUAAUGUGCUCGGCUCUCUCAUUGCUCAAGAGGUCAAACUGGCCUUUGGUGUCAAAACUGAUAUUGAAAAUCUGAGGAGCACAGUCUUCAGGAUCCAAGCUGUGAUGCGAGAUGCAGAAAAGCGGAGUUCUCAAGACGAUCAGAUCAAAUACUGGCUCAGUGAGCUCAAAGAUGUCCUCCAUGAUGCUGAUGACGUGCUGGAUGAUUUCUCCACUGAAGUUUUGCGGCACAAAGUGGAAAGUGGAAACAAAAUGAAAAAGAAGGUACGCAUUUUCUUUUCAAGUUCAAACCAGCUUGCUUUUAGUCUUAAAAUGGGUCAUGAAAUAAAAGCAAUUAGGGAGAGACUAAAUGCCAUUGAAAAAGAUAAGGAGGCUUUUCACUUUAGCCAGAGCUUGGUUGAGCCACAAGUCAUGAAUAGGGGCAGAGAAACUUAUUCUUUUGUACUCAAAGAUGAAGUUAUUGGGAGAGAGAAUGAUAAGGAAGAGAUUAUGAAACGUCUUUUUGAUGACAGUGUCAAAGAGAAUAUUUCUAUCAUUCCAAUUGUUGGUAUCGGAGGAUUGGGCAAGACAACACUAGCUCAACUGGUAUACAAUGAUGAAGAUGUUCAAACAAAGUUUAAGAUAAAACUUUGGGUUUGUAUCUCUGAUAUCUUUGACGUACAGCGGAUUGUUAAAGAAAUUGUAGAACAGUUGACAAAGGGGAAGCAUGAAGGAAGCCUCGAGAUCUUGCAAAAUAAGCUUCGAGAAGAACUUAAUGGAAAAAAAUACCUGAUUGUCUUGGACGAUUUGUGGAAUGAGGACAGUAGUGAAUGGCUUCUCUUGAGAAAUUUGUUAAUGGUUGGUAAAAAGGGAAGUAGGAUACUGGUAACUACUCGCUCAGAAAGUGUGGCGAGGAUAACGGGUGCAACUUCAUGGCAUGCUCUAAGAGGCCUUCCUGAAGAAAAGGCGUGGAGUUUGUUUGUAAAAGUGGCAUUUGAACGAGGUCAAGAACCUAAAAAUAAAGCCUUAGUAGCAAUUGGAAGGAAGAUUGUUGAAAAGUGUGAUGGAUUGCCUCUCGCUAUAAGAACAAUAGGAAGCCUAUUGUUCCUUAAUACUUCUGAGAUUGAGUGGCAAUCCUUUUUAGAUUAUGAACUCUCAAAAAUAUGUCGACAAGAAAAUAAGAUCUCAUUAACUCUUAAGUUGAGUUAUGAUCACCUUCCAUCACAUUUAAAGCAAUGUUUUGCUUAUUGUAGAUUGUUUCCAAAAGAUUAUAGAAUUGAUGUAAAUACACUUAUUAAUCUUUGGAUAGCACAAGGCUUUAUUGUGUUAGAAGAUCCAAGACAGCGUUUUGUGGAUAUUGGAAGAAAAUAUUUUAUGGAAUUACUCUGGAGAUCGUUUUUUCAAGAUGUAGAAAAUGAUUAUUAUUUGGGCAGUAUAGAAUCAUGUAAGAUGCAUGAUCUCAUGCAUGAUCUUGCAAUUCUUAUGUCUGGAACGGAAAGUGCCAUAUUAAAUUCAAGUGGGGAAAAUGUGAUUGAAAAAGUUCAUCAUGUAUCAUUUGAUCUAGUGGAUUCAUCGAGUCAAUUUUCAAUCCCCGUGGCUAAUAAAAGGAAGGUACGAACAAUUCUUGCAGCUAGUGUAGGGGGAAAGUUGGAUAACUUAACUUGUGAUGCACUUAUUUCAAAUCUCAAUUAUUUACGCACAUUGGGUUUGAAUUGUUUAGGGCUACAUGUAGUGCCCCAUUCAAUUGGAGAAUUGAGUCAUUUAAGGUAUCUUGAUCUUUCUAAAAAUAAACAUAUUGUUGUUCUCCCUAAUUCCAUUACAAAGCUGCUAAAUUUACAGACGCUGAAACUCUUAUUAUGUGUUUCACUUAAAGAGUUACCUCGGGGCCUUAAGAAGUUGGUCAAUCUUAGGCAUUUAGACGUUAGUGGGUGCAACAAAUUGACGCAUAUGCCCCUUGGACUUGGGCAUCUUACUUCUCUUGAGAUACUAACGAGGUUCGUCGUGAGGCAAGGGGGUUCCAAGGCUAGCUCGUAUAGUUGGUAUAAGAAAAAACAGGCUGGUGGGCUAAGUGAAUUGAAGGAGCUGAGCAAUUUGGGAGGAAGUCUAUUGAUUAAAAAUUUGGGACAUGGAAAAGAUGACAUGGUGGAAUGUAAAGCCACAAAUAUGAAGCAGAAGCAGCAUCUUCAAAAGCUAGAAUUAGAGUGGAGUUAUGAUGAUGGAGAAACUGAAUGUUAUGAUGAGAUGUCACUGGAAGGGCUCCAGCCACAUCCAAAUCUUAAAGCGUUGGAAUUGUGGAAUUAUAUGGGUGUGAGAAUUCCAAGUUGGGUAUCUUCUCUCACUAAUCUUGUUCAUUUUCUAUUAUUUCAAAAUAGGAGAUUGCAGCACCUCCCACCGUUAAACCAACUCCCUGUUCUCAAGUCUGUUAAGCUUGUUGGAAUGGAAGCACUUGAAUACAUUUCAGAUGAAGACAGUGUUAGUAACGUGUUGGGUGCUUCCUCUUCUUCCUCUUCUUCUUCUUCAAAAACACCAUUCUUCCCAUCCUUAUCUUCUCUCACAAUAUCUCGAUGCCCAAAACUGAAGGGAUGGUGGAGGAAUUCAGAUGAUGAUGAUGAUGAUGAUGAUAAUGAGCCACACCAUCUCUUACUUCCAUCAUUUCCUCCUUCUCUUUCUACAUUACAGAUUGACAGUUGCCCUAACCUGACUUCCAUACCCCUGAUUCCCCCCUCUCUGAAAAAUCCAAUUAUUGGUGGUUGUCCCCUCUUACGGCUACACGAAGGAAACAGUGAAGAUUGUCCCAAAUAAUCCAACAAGAAAAAACAAUUUAUUCAGAAUCUGAUUUAGAAUUAGAGUCGGUUUGUUCACUUCCAGAGGGGGAAUUAGCUUGUUUUGCAGGUUGUUAAUUACUGAGCUACACUCAAGUUUAAGAACUUUUGGUUUUUCAAGUGCUUGUUAUUUUGUCACUUUCUCUGCCUCUUGAAGCCAUAGUCCUUGCUGCAUUUGGUUGUGAAGUCCCUGUAAUCUUGAGGCUGCAGAACGUCUGUUGUUUUUUAAUCAGUGGGGUCCAAACAAACAUGAGUAGGAGAGAAUAUUGGAUAGAAGUUGGAAUCUGAUGGCAUCUUUAACCACUUCAGGCCUUGCAAUUGUGCUGCAUGUCCCAGAAUUGCAAGUGGAUUGUUGGAAUCUGCUGAAAACAAUUGAUUCAGAACCAACUGAGGCAAAGAACAAGCUUGGGUGCAAAAUUUGGACCCUAUUCAAAAACUGCAAUUGUACGACUGGUCAAUAACUCAGUGAAUCAUAGCAAAUUCUUAGAACUUGGGAGCACUUCACCAGGCAGCUAGCAUGGCUGGAAUUAGCUUACUAAACCAGUAUUUUGACUGACUUUGAAGUCAGAGAAGAAUGAGAGAAUGACUGAAUGAGUCUAAUUUGUUCAUUCACGCACAAAUUCAAAGGUUGUUCUGCUCAAAACGAAACCCAAAUUUAAGAACAUUUGGUUUUUCCAUUGGUUGGUAAUUUGGAACUUUUUCUCUCUGCUAAAGCCAUGGCCCUUUCUUCUUGAAUUUUGACAAUUGAGACAGAAUUCAAGAACCUGCCCUGUUCAAAACUUUCUGGCCCUGAAAUCCUGUAAUAAGUAGUGGACUCAAUGACUCUUUUUGAAUAUUGGGCAACAUUGCGCAUGUUCUUUUCAUUAAUCAAUCCAAAGAAGAGGAGACCAACAUGCAGGGCCCCCACACGAGUAUGGGGGAAAGUAUACAUGGAACUUUUAAGCCAUAGAGAGGUAGAACGAGUAAGGAUGGUUGAGACAUGACUGGUAAGAGAAGCAGUUUGAUUAAAUAUCCCAAAGAUGGAGUAAUUCACUGCAAAGCAAUGCAGAGAUUGCUGGUGCCCCAAAUAUUCUAACCAAGUCCAGAAGGAUCUCACCCCAUUAGCUGCACAGAGGGGUGUGGCAUUGAAACCAAAAGGAUUUUCAAAGAUGGUUCUACACAAAUCAAGCAUCAACUUUCAAUAGAUUGAGUGAACUCUUAAUUUUGUUGUUUUCUCUUUUUUUGCUGUCUGGAGCUCGUUGUUGUGUACAAUUGUCAAUUUCAAGUGCAGGGCAAAUUUAUGCUUGCUCCAUUGAUGGCUUUUGGGACUUCCACAACAAAGAACCUCUUUGUGUGGAUGGAAGUCACUGUGUCGUAUUUGAAGUGAGUGUGAAGUGUGAAGAUGAUCCAUAUCUAUGUAUUUUAGAGAAAAGGGAAAGGGAGCAUUUUCCAUAAGGGACUAGAAUUAGGGUGAUAAAGCCGCUUGGUGAAGUUGUUCAUCAUGGAAGAUAUGGUGACCAGAGCUUUGUUGAACCAUAUGCUCUUUACAAGCAAGUUUUCAGAAGAAGCGUAAAUUGAGGAGGCAGUAAUGGAUCAUAAGAGGUGCUCCAAAUAUUCUAACCUGGUCCAGAAGGAUCUCACCCCAUAAGCUGCACAGAUGAUUGUACAGAGGAGAGUGUGGCAUUGAAACCAAAAGGAUUUUCAAUGAUGGUUCUACAAAAAUCAAGUAUCAUCUUUCAGUAGAUUGACUUUCUCUUUUUGUGCAGCAUGGAGCUCAUUGCUAUGUACAAUUUGCAAUUUCAAGUACAGGGCAAAUUUGUGCUUGCUCCAUUGAGGAGGCUUUUGAGACUUCCACAACAAAGAACCUCUUUGGUGAUAUUGUGAAAUUAUUAAUCAAGGCAGAGUUGAUGACCAAAGCUUUGUCCUACCAUAUGCUCUGUACAAGCAAACUUACAGAAGCCAUGAGAACGUGCAAUUGCGCUGGAAUGGAACUUACAUAUUUCUCACAACAAUUGAAGAUAAAUUGAUGAGAAUGCUUAUGUUCUAGGGUCUACUUCCCUCUCCUGCCGCCCCGCAAGUUGAUGACUGCUACAUUAUGUUUAGUUAAGAUAGUAAGAGCCUCUAUCCUCAUUUUGCGGACUAUUUGCCUCAAUGUCUUAAGGAGAGCCAUUGUUUUAGGUUAGUGAAGUGGCAAAUAGAGCUAUUGUUUUCUCUACAGAUGUCGGUUCAACUAAGAUUGCAAUUGGUCUCAUAACUCCUUUUUCUAUAAAGAGGGAUGUCAGCGAUUAUAUGGCCAUGUAGUUCCCCUUUGAAUGGUUAUCGAAUGGAGACUAUGUAACACUAAACAGACGAAGGGAAAUUUUUUACAUCAUUCUUGAAUCUAGCUAUCACAAAGAAGCUGUUAAAGAUCACAUAAUGAUUUGGACUGCUCAGUUUUGUCCUCUUCAACAGUUUUGGAAGAGAAACGAGGACAAUUAAGUAGAUCUAGUUCUUUCAUCCGGAAUGCUGAAUUUGCAAUUCUCAACAUGUUGAAAUCUGUUGUCAUCUAGGCUAUCAAAUAUUUCAUUGCUUCUUCAAAUAUCAUAAUCUGGGUGGCCAACUUUGUUGUUAGGUUUUAGUGGAUCAACUUGUUGGGUUCCUUUUGCAAUUAUAACUCGGGUACCCUUUGUGCUUGUAUGCCAAUUAAUGUUUUUAGUGUGUUUUUUUUUCCUUAUGCGAAUGGAAACUUUGGAAAGAAAUUCUACAUGUCUACAAGCUGGAGAAAUUUUAGCAAAUCAA